rnacentral:rRNA from 1 species
UACGUAGGGUGCGAGCGUUAAUCGGAAUUACUGGGCGUAAAGUGUGCGCAGGCGGCCGAGCAAGUCGGGUGUGAAAGCCCCGAGCUUAACUUGGGAACUGCGCUCGAAACUACUUGGCUAGAGUGUGGCAGAGGGAGGUGGAAUUCCACGUGUAGCGGUGAAAUGCGUAGAGAUGUGGAGGAACACCGAUGGCGAAGGCAGCCUCCUGGGCCACCACUGACGCUCAUGCACGAAAGCGUGGGGAGCAAAUAGG